UGUUAUAACAUAUCGUAUUGUCGAAAUCUCGGUCAGGUCGGUGUUUACAAGCGGGGAAAAUGUACGGAGGGAACGGUGGGGGGGAGGUGGAGUGGAGGGGCGGCGCCAUGACGGCGAACACUUGGCAGCAGUGCAGGUCGCGUGAGUUGCAGUCCGAUCGGCAGGCACAAAUCGGCAUACGGAGCGAUCCGGUAAUUUGCACGGAAAACACG